rnacentral:rRNA from 1 species
GAGUAAUACAUCGGAACGUGUCCUGUAGUGGGGGAUAGCCCGGCGAAAGCCGGAUUAAUACCGCAUACGCUCUACGGAGGAAAGGGGGGGAUCUUAGGACCUCCCGCUACAGGGGCGGCCGAUGGCAGAUUAGCUAGUUGGUGGGGUAAAGGCCUACCAAGGCGACGAUCUGUAGCUGGUCUGAGAGGACGACCAGCCACACUGGGACUGAGACACGGCCCAGACUCCUACGGGAGGCAGCAGUGGGGAAUUUUGGACAAUGGGGGCAACCCUGAUCCAGCAAUGCCGCGUGUGUGAAGAAGGCCUUCGGGUUGUAAAGCACUUUUGUCCGGAAAGAAAACGCCGUGGUUAAUACCCGUGGCGGAUGACGGUACCGGAAGAAUAAGCACCGGCUAACUACGUGCCAGCAGCCGCGGUAAUACGUAGGGUGCAAGCGUUAAU